rnacentral:rRNA from 1 species
UUGACCUCAAUUAGGUAGACUACC